rnacentral:rRNA from 1 species
CUUCGGGUGAGCGGCGGACGGGUUAGUAACGCGUGGGAACGUGCCCUUCUCUACGGAAUAGCCUCUGGAAACGGAGAGUAAUACCGUAUACGCCCUUUGGGGGAAAGAUUUAUCGGAGAAGGAUCGGCCCGCGUUAGAUUAGGUAGUUGGUGGGGUAACGGCCUACCAAGCCUACGAUCUAUAGCUGGUUUUAGAGGAUGAUCAGCAACACUGGGACUGAGACACGGCCCAGACUCCUACGGGAGGCAGCAGUGGGGAAUCUUAGACAAUGGGGGCAACCCUGAUCUAGCCAUGCCGCGUGAGUGAUGAAGGCCUUAGGGUCGUAAAGCUCUUUCGCCUGUGAUGAUAAUGACAGUAGCAGGUAAAGAAACCCCGGCUAACUCCGUGCCAGCAGCCGCGGUAAUACGGAGGGGGUUAGCGUUGUUCGGAAUUACUGGGCGUAAAGCGCGCGUAGGCGGAUUAGAAAGUUGGGGGUGAAAUCCCGGGGCUCAACCCCGGAACUGCCUCCAAAACUGCUAGUCUAGAGUUCGAGAGAGGUGAGUGGAAUUCCGAGUGUAGAGGUGAAAUUCGUAGAUAUUCGGAGGAACACCAGUGGCGAAGGCGGCUCACUGGCUCGAUACUGACGCUGAGGUGCGAAAGUGUGGGGAGCAAACAGGAUUAGAUACCCUGGUAGUCCACACCGUAAACGAUGAAUGCCAGUCGUCGGAUAGUAUACUAUUCGGUGACACACCUAACGGAUUAAGCAUUCCGCCUGGGGAGUACGGUCGCAAGAUUAAAACUCAAAUGAAUUGACGG